AUACGAAGGGCCCGAGCGUUAAUCGGAAUCACUGGGCUUAAAGGGUUCGUAGGCGGAUUUGUAAGUACUUUGUGAAAUCCCACAGCUCAACUGUGGAACUGCUGAGUAUACUGCAAGUCUUGAGGUCGGUAGGGGCAACCGGAACAAUAGGUGGAGCGGUGAUAUGCGUAGAUAUCUAUUGGAACACCGAAGGCGAAGGCAGGUUGCUGGGCCGAAUCUGACGCUGAGGAACGAAAGCGUGGGGAGCGAACGGGAUUAGAUACCCGAGUAGUCC
rnacentral:rRNA from 1 species